GAUGAACGCUAGCGGCAGGCCUAACACAUGCAAGUCGAGGGGUAGCAGGAUUAAGCUUGCUUAAUUGCUGACGACCGGCGCACGGGUGCGUAACGCGUAUGCAACCUACCAUAUACUGGGGUAUAGCCCGGAGAAAUUCGGAUUAAUCCCCCAUAGUACUAAUGAAUCGCAUGGUUUAUUAGUUAAAGCAUUGCGGUAUAAGAUGGGCAUGCGUCCUAUUAGCUAGAUGGUGAGGUAACGGCUCACCAUGGCUACGAUAGGUAGGGGGCCUGAGAGGGUGGUCCCCCACACUGGUACUGAGACACGGACCAGACUCCUACGGGAGGCAGCAGUGAGGAAUAUUGGUCAAUGGGCGCAAGCCUGAACCAGCCAUGCCGCGUGCAGGAAGAAUGCCCUAUGGGUUGUAAACUGCUUUUAUUUGGGAAUAAACCUCUUUACGUGUAGAGAGCUGAAGGUACCAAAUGAAUAAGCGCCGGCUAACUGCGUGCCAGCAGCCGCCGUAA
rnacentral:rRNA from 1 species